UCAGUUAGUCCUGACGAAGGGUCUCGGCCCGAAACGUUGACACUGCUUCUCCCUAUAGAUGCUGUCUGGCCUGCUGUGUUCCACCAGCAUUUUGUGUGUGUUGUUGUUUGAAUUUCCAACAUCUGCAGAUUUCCUCCUGUUUGCCUUUUAAGUUCUGUUUUCAACACAUGUUCGGCUGCUUAAGUCUCGCCCCUCUCGCUCCAAGUCCUGAUUCCUGAAAAGUGAAAUUCGUCAGAAAAAGUCCCGGGAACGAUUAAAAACACGAAAUGCCGGCAGAACUCAGCAGGCCAGACAGCACCUACGGGAGGAGGUAGCAUCCUGGUGAAUCUCCUCUGCACCCUCUCUAAUCCAGGUAGCAUCCUGGUGAAUCUCCUCUGCACCCUCUCUAAUCCAGGCAGCAUCCUGGUGAAUCUCUGCACCCUCUCUCAUCCGGGCAGCAUCCUAUUGAAUCUCCUCUGCACCCUCUCUAAUCCAGGCAGCAUCCUGGUGUGGUUCAGGUGCCAAGCUGUCUUUGGCCUCCCACAUUUCCUCCACCCUUCGGGGGGUCCAACGAAGAGCUGACCUCUCUUCUCAUCACAUACGCGCCCAAUCCAUCUCUAGCGUUUCCUCGCGAUGAUGGUGGCCGUGUCCUCUCGGUGACGCUGAAGGAGCCGGGCGUGGCGGGAGAUCUUCCUCGGCCAGAAGACACGGAGGAUCUUCCGGAGGCUCCUGACGACAGCUUGGUGAUUUGUAGCCAAGUUCUCUUGGUGACCCCGUCGGGAGUUGUGAGAGCCAAGAGAAUCCAGUCUUCAUUGUUUUUUUACUUCUGAGAAAGCCGCACGCCUAUCAUGUGGUUCCCUCAUGACAUAACGCAAUUAAUAUAUUUUUACAUAUGACCUGUUUGAAAGUUAAACAAACAAGAAUGCUUAAUUGAACAAUAUAUGCGCAAUAUUACUCAAAUACUACUGAAAUAUUAAAUGCAAAACAAGGCUUCAGCCAUCUCCAAAUGCAGAGAAGGUACUUCCUUUUGGAGGCCCUGGUUAAACGGGGAAUUGAAGCAUUUGUCCUAAGAACUGAACGUGUGGGAACUCGAGCACCAGGAACGCCUCGGUUCCCUCAAGGGGCGUUGGCAUUAGGCCGGGAUUUGCAUUCAGAGGGACUGAAAAGGCAGGGCCUCGGGAGCGGAGGUGAGGACGUUUACUCUGCGCUCCUCGGCGAUGAGGCUGGGCCCCGCUCCGGCGUGACCGGGCGUAGUUCCCGCGAGUUCGGCGG